UAAAUAAUUUUUCUUAGUUUAUUACUUUCACUUUUGGCUAUUGCUUGCCCUCGUGUAAGCCAUUGUGUUUGCUUCCGCAUGUGCAACAUUUUACUCUAUUGAUACUUGUUGUUGAGCCUUGGGCGGACAGGGGAGGCUCUGUCCGUUCGGCGUCUGUUCGACGCGCUCGAACCAGCCAAAAGGAUCCGGCUCGGGACGUG
rnacentral:lncRNA from 1 species